GACGAACGCUGGCGGCGUGCUUAACACAUGCAAGUCGAACGAUGAAGAAAGGAAUUGAAGCUUCGGCAGAAAUUCAUUUCGGAUUAGUGGCAGACGGGUGAGUAACGCGUGAGCAACCUACCUCUUACAAAGGGAUAGCCUCGGGAAACCGGGAUUAAUACCAUAUAACAUUGCGACGAAGCAUUUCGAUGCAAUCAAAGCUACGGCGGUAAGAGAUGGGCUCGCGUCCCAUUAACCAGAUGGUGAGGUAACGGCUCACCAUAGUAACGAUGGGUAACCGGCCUGAGAGGGUGAACGGUCACACUGGAACUGAGACACGGUCCAGACUCCUACGGGAGGCAGCAGUGGGGAAUAUUGCACAAUGGAGGGAACUCUGAUGCAGCGACGCCGCGUGAGUGAUGAAGGAAUUCGUUUCGUAAAACUCUGUUCUAUGGGAAGAAAAGGACUGUACCAUAGGAGAAAGCUCCGGCUAAAUACGUG
rnacentral:rRNA from 1 species